rnacentral:rRNA from 1 species
UAGUCCAUACCGUAAACGAUGAAUACUAGGUGUAGGAGGUAUCGACUCCUUCUGUGCCGAAACGAACGCAUUAAGUAUUCCACCUGGGGAGUACGAUCGCAAGAUUAAAACUCAAAGGAAUUGACGGGGGCCCGCACAAGCAGUGGAGUAUGUGGUUUAAUUCGUCGCAACGCGAAGAACCUUACCAGGGUUUGACAUCCUCUGACGGCUCUAGAAAUAGAGAAUUCCCUUCGGGGACAGAGAGAC